AUACUCUGGCUUCUCUUCAGAUCGCAUAAGUCUUUCGCCUUUUACUAAAGAUUUCCGUGGAGAGAAAGAAUUGAGUUUUAAGAUAAUUUUUUGAGGCUUUGCUUGGACAAAGCU
ensembl:snRNA U5 U5 spliceosomal RNA